rnacentral:rRNA from 1 species
AUUGAACGCUGGCGGCAGGCCUAACCCAUGCAAGUCGAGCGAGCGGCGGACGGGUGAGUAAUGUAUGGGGACCUGCCCGAUAGAGGGGGAUAACUCAUGGGAACGGUGGCUAAUACCGCAUUCUAUCGGAUGAACCCCUACGGGAGUAGCUAGUAGGUGGGGUAAAGGCUCACCUGGGCGACGAUCUCUAGCUGGUCUGCGAGGAUGAUGAGCCACACUGGGACUGAGACACGGCCCAGAAGCCUACGGUAGGCAGCAGUGGGGAAUAGUGCGCAAUUGGCGCAAGCCUGAUGCAGCCAUGCCGCGUGUAUGAAGAAGGCCUUAGGGUUGUAAAGUACUUUCAGCGGGGAGGCGUUACCCGCAGAAGAAGCACCGGCUAACUCCGUGCCAGCAGCCGCGGUAAUAC